AGCGAACGCUGGCGGCAGGCCUAACACAUGCAAGUCGAACGGUAACGCGGGGCAACCUGGCGACGAGUGGCGAACGGGUGAGUAAUGCAUCGGAACGUGCCCAUCAGUGGGGGAUAGCCCGGCGAAAGCCGGAUUAAUACCGCAUACGACCUGGGGGUGAAAGCGGGGGACCGUAAGGCCUCGCGCUGAUGGAGCGGCCGAUGUCGGAUUAGCUAGUGGGUGGGGUAAAGGCUUACCAAGGCAACGAUCCGUAGCUGGUCUGAGAGGACGACCAGCCACACUGGGACUGAGACACGGCCCAGACUCCUACGGGAGGCAGCAGUGGGGAAUAUUGGACAAUGGGCGGAAGCCUGAUCCAGCCAUGCCGCGUGUGUGAAGAAGGCCUUUUGGUUGUAAAGCACUUUAAGCGAGGAGGAGGCUCUUAAGGUUAAUACCCUUGAUGAGUGGACGUUACUCGCAGAAUAAGCACCGGCUAACUCUGUGCCAGCAGCCGCGGUAACAC
rnacentral:rRNA from 1 species